rnacentral:lncRNA from 1 species
AAGAUAUUUAGCUUGAGGACUGGUACCAUGCAAAGCAAUUAGUUAUUUCUGAAAGCUUGAGCUAGUAGAUCGAGAGCGGUGAUAUAAUAUUUCACAUAAAUUUUGUAAUGUUCGAGAAUCCUUUGACAUAGUUUUCGUAAUUGACAAAAUAGCUACUUAAUUAGGAGGUUCUCCUAGAAUUUGAAGCAAUGCUUCCUUAGCAUCUCUUCCUCUCCUUCCCUCAAUUCCUCUCAAAAGUGAUUCUCAUGUUUCCUUUCCACAAGAAGCAAAGCAAAGCCUUUGGUGUGUUUGUUGGAAUUUUUAGCACAACCAAUAAGAUUUGAGUUUAUCUCCCCCUCCUAAUGUU